CAGCAGCCACGGGAAUACGGAGGGUGCAAGCGUUAAUCGGAAUUACUGGGCGUAAAGCGCACGCAGGCGGUCUGACAAGUCAGAUGUGAAAUCCCCGGGCUUAACCUGGGAACUGCAUUUGAAACUGUCAGGCUGGAGUCUUGUAGAGGGGGGUAGAAUUCCAGGUGUAGCGGUGAAAUGCGUAGAGAUCUGGAGGAAUACCGGUGGCGAAGGCGGCCCCCUGGACAAAGACUGACGCUCAGGUGCGAAAGCGUGGGGAGCAAACAGGAUUAGAUACCUGUGUAGUCCCUGUCUCUUAUAC
rnacentral:rRNA from 1 species